ACGGGAGGCAGCAGUGGGGAAUAUUGGGCAAUGGGCGAAAGCCUGACCCAGCGACGCCGCGUGAAGGAAGACGGUCCUCGGAUUGUAAACUUCUUUUAUGUGGGACGAAACAAAUGACGGUACCACAUGAAUAAGCCACGGCUAACUACGUGCCAGCAGCCGCGGUAAUACGUAGGUGGCGAGCGUUAUCCGGAUUUACUGGGUGUAAAGGGUGUGUAGGCGGGACUGCAAGUCAGAAGUGAAAAUUAUGGGCUCAACUCAUAACUUGCUUUUGAAACUGUGGUUCUUGAGGGUCGGAGAGGUAACUGGAAUUCCUGGUGUAGCGGUGAAAUGCGUAGAUAUCAGGAGGAACACCGGUGGCGAAGGCGGGUUACUGGACGAUACCUGACGCUGAGACACGAAAGCGUGGGGAGCAAACAGGAUUAGAUACCCUGGUA
rnacentral:rRNA from 1 species